CCCGGGGAUAGCCUUGCGAAAGCAAGAUUAAUACCCGAUGUUCUCACUGUUCCGCAUGUUACGGUGAGCAAAGAAUUUCGGUAUGCGAUGGCGAUGCGUCCCAUUAGCUAGUUGGCGGGGUAACGGCCCACCAAGGCUCCGAUGGGUAGGGGUUCUGAGAGGAAGGUCCCCCACACUGGAACUGAGACACGGUCCAGACUCCUACGGGAGGCAGCAGUGAGGAAUAUUGGUCAAUGGACGCAAGUCUGAACCAGCCAAGUAGCGUGCAGGAUGACGGCCCUCCGGGUUGUAAACUGCUUUUAGUUGGGAAUAAAAGGGGGCUCGUGAGCCCCGUAUUGUAUGUACCAUCAGAAAAAGGACCGGCUAAUUCCGUGCCAGCAGCCGCGGUAAUACGGAAGGUCCGGGCGUUAUCCGGAUUUAUUGGGUUUAAAGGGAGCGUAGGCCGGCUUUUAAGUCAGCUGUGAAAGUCCGCGGCUCAACCGUGGAAUUGCAGUUGAAACUGGAGGCCUUGAGUGCACACAGGGAUGCCGGAAUUCAUGGUGUAGCGGUGAAAUGCUUAGAUAUCAUGAAGAACUCCGAUCGCGAAGGCAAGUGUCCGGGGUGCAACUGACGCUGAGGCUCGAAAGUGCGGGUAUCAAACAGGAUUAGAUACCCUGGUAGUCCGCACCGUAAACGAUGAAUACUCGUGUCCCGCGAUAUAUUGUGGGACACUUAG
rnacentral:rRNA from 1 species